rnacentral:rRNA from 1 species
CCAAUAGCGUAUAUUAAAGUUGUUGCAGUUAAAAAGCUCGUAGUUGAAUUUCGGGAUCAAGGAAUCGGUCAUGCCUCGGUAUGUACUGGUUUUAUUGGUUCUCACCUUCUAAAGAACCAUGAUGUCAUUCAUUUGAUGUUAUGGGGAAUUAGGACUGUUACCUUGAAAAAAUUAGAGUGUUUAAAGCAAGCUUACGCUUGAAUACAUUAGCAUGGAAUAAUGAAAUAAGACAUCCGAUUCUAUUUUGUUGGUUUCUAGGAUCGAUGUAAUGAUUAAUAGGGAUAGUUGGGGGCAUUAGUAUUCAAUUGUCAGAGGUGAAAUUCUUGGAUUUAUUGAAGACUAACUACUGCGAAAGCAUUUGCCAAGGAUGUUUUCAUUAAUCAAGAACGAAAGUUAGGGGAUCGAAGACGAUCAGAUACCGUCGUAGUCUUAACCAUAAACUAUGCCGACUAGGGAUCGGAUGAUGUUUAUUUUUUAGUGACUCAUUCGGCACCUUACG